rnacentral:rRNA from 1 species
AUUGAACGCUGGCGGCAGGCCUAACACAUGCAAGUCGAGCGGCUGAAGAGAGCUUGCUCCUGGAUUCAGCGGCGGACGGGUGAGUAAUGCCUAGGAAUCUGCCUGGUAGUGGGGGAUAACGUCCGGAAACGGGCGCUAAUACCGCAUACGUCCUGAGGGAGAAAGUGGGGGAUCUUCGGACCUCACGCUAUCAGAUGAGCCUAGGUCGGAUUAGCUAAUUGGGGGGGUAAAGGCCUACCAAGGCGACGAUCCGUAAAUGGUCUGAGAGGAUGAUCAGUCACACUGGAACUGAGACACGGUCCAGACUCCUACGGGAGGCAGCAGUGGGGAAUAUGGGACAAGGGGCGAAAGCCGGAUCCAGCCAUGCCGCGUGUGUGAAGAAGGUCUUCGGAUUGUAAAGCACUUUAAGUUGGGAGGAAGGGCAGUAAGUUAAUACCUGGCUGUUUGGACGUUACCAACAGAAUAAGCACCGGCUAACUUCGU